CACAGGGAACAGAAAGGUGAUAAGAACACCACUAUCUCAAGGACAUCUCAGGAAAGAGCAAUUAGUGAGCUAUGUAUUUUGGACCUGUUCUCAGUUUGUUGUUCCUGGUGGCCUGUGAGACUACCCAAUCCAGAACUUUGUGAAGAUGAUUUUGAUGUGUCUUGGCUGAAACUGCAUGAGCUUCGCUACUAAAAUCAUCCUUUAUCACUGCAGGGUGGCUGACUCUUUCAAAGGGAGGUACAUCUCAGCCCAACUGUGAUGCAGCUGAUUUGCCUCUCCAGAUGGAAAAAAAGGAAUUAAGUUACAAUCAUGUGACUAAACCAGGUCUUUGGAGGUCUAGGAAAACAAAGACAAAAAGGAUUCACAUUGUGAAGCUGCAGAAAGAGAGAAAGAGAGUGUCUGUCUCCUACAUUGGCCCCUGAGGAAGAGAGCCAUGGCUGGGUAGAAACCUCUGACUGGAAGUUUGUGUUUUCUUUUUGGGGAGAAGACAAAGAAGGUAGGCUAGGCUAGGCAUUGCCUCUUCUCCAGUGACUCUCAGAGCUGUAAGAGAGAAUCUCUCAGAAGAGGGGGUGUGCCCAGAUUAAAAACUGUGGUAGAAGACUGUGGUAUUUAUUUUGGAAUUUUAUGUUAAUGAACCAGACCCUAAGGAGGGCUGUUUGUUGUUGGACUUAUGAAAGCCAUUAGUGUGUGGAGUUCUUUGAGACGCUUGAAAGAGGAGAAAUGGAGGCAAGGUGAUGCGGAGCCACCCUGCGGCCAUGAGGUGCUGCCUGGGAGGCAGCUAAUCCGGUUAAAAAACCCAGCCAUGUAAGAAAAUAAUCAACUGAGCAUGUAAUCUAAUACAAAAGCAUAUAAACACACACUCUUCCAAGAUCUGAACUACUCCUUGCCUCUCAGUCAUCCAAAUGAUGGAGAAGAUAGACGGAACUUACCACUUGUCUUAUUUUCAGGCAACUUUUGGCUUGUCUGGACUAGUUUAGACAAUGAUUGACUUCCCAAGUUAAAGGGCCUUCUUGCAAAAUGCCUUGGCAGAAUCUUCCCACCCUUUUCAAUCACGGAAGCUCCAGUAUGAGUGCUGACCAAAACUCCACUUCUAGUCCUUGGGGGGUGGGGUCGGGUAGCAGGUGAUGUUGGGGGGGAGCAAUUAGGUAUGUCACAAGAGUUGUCAUUUUAACCUUCCAAACCAUUAAGCUUCAGACAGCCUGGGUUUCUUUUUAAAUCUACCUCAGAAAUGUCUUCCCCCCCCCCCGCUUUCCACCAAAAGCAUGGAAUUCCCCUCUGUGUGCGCACACAAUAAUUACACUACCCUGGAGCUCAGUAUGAUCAGAAUUUAGUUCUAUGUAAGUGACAGGUUAAAUGUAUGAUAUUCCAUGACAAGACAGCUAGAAACAGGAGCCUCAGUACCGCUGGAAAUGAAAGUUUUCCAUCUCCCCAAUGGUGUUGACACACAGCACUUGCUUCUAACCCAGGGACAAAGUGAGAUCAUGGUAUUAUGUAGAGAAA